GAUGAACGCUGGCGGCGUGCCUAAUACAUGCAAGUCGAGCGAACGGACGAGAAGCUUGCUUCUCUGAUGUUAGCGGCGGACGGGUGAGUAACACGUGGAUAACCUACCUAUAAGACUGGGAUAACUUCGGGAAACCGGAGCUAAUACCGGAUAAUAUUUUGAACCGCAUGGUUCAAAAGUGAAAGACGGUCUUGCUGUCACUUAUAGAUGGAUCCGCGCUGCAUUAGCUAGUUGGUAAGGUAACGGCUUACCAAGGCAACGAUGCAUAGCCGACCUGAGAGGGGGACGGGCCAAAGUGGAACAGAGCCGCGGACCAGACUCCGAGGGGGGGCAGAGGUAGGAAAUCUCCCGAAAGGGGGAAAGCCCGGACGGGGCAACGCCGGGGGAUUGAGGAGGGUCUUCGUAUCAAAAAAUUUUUUUAUUAGGAAAAAAAAUUUGUGAAAGUAAUGGUGCACAUCUGGAGGGACCCUAAUAAGAAACCCACGCAAAACUAGGGC
rnacentral:rRNA from 1 species